AGAGUUUGAUCAUGGCUCAGAAUCAACGCUGGCGGCGUGCCUAACACAUGCAAGUCGAACGCGGUUACCCCGCAAGGGGUGACUGAGUGGCAAACGGGUGAGUAACACGUGGGUGACCUGCCUUCGAGUGGGGGAUAACGUUUCGAAAGGAACGCUAAUACCGCAUGACAUCCUGCCUUUGGACAGGCGGAGAUCAAAGCCGGGGAUCGCAAGACCUGGCGCUUGGAGAGGGGCCCGCGUCCGAUUAGCUAGUUGGUGAGGUAACGGCUCACCAAGGCGACGAUCGGUAUCCGGCCUGAGAGGGCGGACGGACACACUGGGACUGAGACACGGCCCAGACUCCUACGGGAGGCAGCAGUGGGGAAUUGUUCGCAAUGGGCGCAAGCCUGACGACGCAACGCCGCGUGGAGGAUGAAGGUCUUCGGAUUGUAAACUCCUGUUGAUCGGGACGAACAACCAUCGGGAUAACACCCCGGAGGUCUGACGGUACCGAUUGAGGAAGCCCCGGCUAACUCUGUGCCAGCCGCCGCGGUAAUUC
rnacentral:rRNA from 1 species